AAGUCGUAACAAGGUUUCCGUAGGUGAACCUGCGGAAGGAUCAUUACCAAGUGACAUAAUAGUAGUGGAUAGCCCACGAUGUGUACGUAGAAGUAUACGUCGUGGGUUUGGUAGCGUGUGUGGUAUAGUGGUGGUGUCUUGUUGUGUGGGAGCAGUGCGGCAGUGUGUUGUGUGUAUAUAUAAACUAUAUGCGCAUGUACUGUGGCGCGUGUGAACAUGCUGCGGGACGGGCCUAGCCACACACGUGUACAAAAACCAUGUAUUUCAUUUACAAACGAACAAAUACAACUUUUAACAAUGGAUCUCUAGGCUCUU
rnacentral:misc_RNA from 1 species